GAUUUGUGGUGUAACGGCUAGCACACAAGGCUUUGAUUCUUGUGGAAGAGGUUCGAUUCCUCUCAAAUCUA
rnacentral:tRNA from 1 species